AACUGAUACUACCUGCGGGAACCUGCGGAGGGAUCAUUAAAAAGUUUUGCCCUUCGGGGUGAUGCGGCACGACGCCGGCGCGGUUGCCCUCACGGGCUGCCGCGGCGGUUGAAGGCUCGAAACCCAAUGUGAAAACCCCCAAGUUGCCUCGGCAGCGCGCCCCUCCGGGAUUAAUUUUCCGGCGGGGCGGUCAGCCUGCCGACGGCACCCAGGAAACUCCUUUUGUAUCUUGGUAUCAAA
rnacentral:misc_RNA from 1 species